CAAUAGCGUAUAUUAAAGCUGUUGCGGUUAAAAAGCUCGUAGUUGGAUUUCUGUCAAGGACAACUGGUCCGCCUCUCGGGUGAGCACAUAGUUUGGUCUUGGCAUCUUGUUGGAAACUGUUGCUGCACUUGGUUGUGUGGCGCAGUGUCCAGCACUUUCACUUUGAGGAAAUUGGAGUGUUUCAAGCAGGCACAUGCCUUUGGACACAGUAGCAUGGAAUAAUUAGAUUGGGCUUUUGCUCCAACUUGUCGGUUUCUGGAGCUGAGGUGAGAAUUAAUGGGGAUUGUUGGGGGCAUCCGAAUUUAGCCGUCAGAGGUGAAAUUCUUGGAUCUGCUAAAGACGGACAACUGCGAAAGCGUUUGCCCAGGAUGUUUUCAUUGA
rnacentral:rRNA from 1 species